GAUGAACGCUGGCGGCGUGCUUAACACAUGCCAGUCGAACGAUGAAGCCCAGCUUGCUGGGUGGAUUAGUGGCGAACGGGUGAGUAACACGUGAGUAACCUGCCCUUAACUCUGGGAUAAGCCUGGGAAACUGGGUCUAAUACCGGAUAGGAGCGUCCACCGCAUGGUGGGUGUUGGAAAGAUUUAUCGGUUUUGGAUGGACUCGCGGCCUAUCAGCUUGUUGGUGAGGUAAUGGCUCUCCAAGGCGACGACGGGUAGCCGGCCUGAGAGGGUGACCGGCCACACUGGGACUGAGACACGGCCCAGACUCCUACGGGAGGCAGCAGUGGGGAAUAUUGCACAAUGGGCGCAAGCCUGAUGCAGCGACGCCGCGUGAGGGAUGACGGCCUUCGGGUUGUAAACCUCUUUCAGUAGGGAAGAAGCGAAAGUGACGGUACCUGCAGAAGAAGCACCGGCUAACUACGUG
rnacentral:rRNA from 1 species